GGACUACCGGGGUAUCUAAUCCUGUUCGAUACCCGCACUUUCGAGCUUCAGCGUCAGUUGCGCUCCAGUGAGCUGCCUUCGCAAUCGGAGUUCUUCGUGAUAUCUAAGCAUUUCACCGCUACACCACGAAUUCCGCCCACUUUGUGCGUACUCAAGGAAACCAGUUCGCGCUGCAGUGCAGACGUUGAGCGUCUACAUUUCACAACACGCUUAAUCUCCGGCCUACGCUCCCUUUAAACCCAAUAAAUCCGGAUAACGCCCGGACCUUCCGUAUUACCGCGGCUGCUGGCACGGAAUUAGCCGGUCCUUAUUCAUAAGGUACAUGCAAAAAGUCUCACGAGACUCACUUUAUUCCCUUAUAAAAGCAGUUUACAACCCAUAGGGCCGUCUUCCUGCACGC
rnacentral:misc_RNA from 1 species